rnacentral:rRNA from 1 species
UACGUAGGGUGCAAGCGUUAAUCGGAAUUACUGGGCGUAAAGCGUGCGCAGGCGGUUGUGCAAGACCGAUGUGAAAUCCCCGGGCUUAACCUGGGAAUGGCAUUGGUGACUGCACGGCUAGAGUGUGUCAGAGGGGGGUAGAAUUCCACGUGUAGCAGCGAAAUGCGUAGAGAUGUGGAGGAAUACCGAUGGCGAAGGCAGCCCCCUGGGAUAACACUGACGCUCAUGCACGAAAGCGUGGGGAGCAAACAGG